rnacentral:tRNA from 1 species
AGAGAUGUGGCUCAGCUGAUAGAGUGCUUGCCUGGCAUGUAAGAAGCCCCGGGUUUGAUUCCUAGCACUGCUG